GACGAACGCUGGCGGCGUGCUUAACACAUGCAAGUCGAACGGAAAGGCCCUGCUUUUGUGGGGUGCUCGAGUGGCGAACGGGUGAGUAACACGUGAGUAACCUGCCCUUGACUUUGGGAUAACUUCAGGAAACUGGGGCUAAUACCGGAUAGGAGCUCCUGCUGCAUGGUGGGGGUUGGAAAGUUUCGGCGGUUGGGGAUGGACUCGCGGCUUAUCAGCUUGUUGGUGGGGUAGUGGCUUACCAAGGCUUUGACGGGUAGCCGGCCUGAGAGGGUGACCGGGCACCUUGGGACUGAGAGACGGCCCAGUCUCCUACGGUAGGCAGCAGUGGGGAAUAUUGCAGAAUGGGCGGAAGCCUGAUGCAGCAACGCCGCGUGCGGGAUGACGGCCUUCGGGUUGUAAACCGCUUUCGCCUGUGACGAAGCGUGAGUGACGGUAAUGGGUAAAGAAGCACCGGCUAACUACGUG
rnacentral:rRNA from 1 species